rnacentral:rRNA from 1 species
GUGGGGAAUAUUGGACAAUGGGCGAAAGCCUGAUCCAGCAAUGCCGCGUGAGUGAUGAAGGCCUUAGGGUUGUAAAGCUCUUUUACCAGGGAUGAUAAUGACAGUACCUGGAGAAUAAGCUCCGGCUAACUCCGUGCCAGCAGCCGCGGUAAUACGGAGGGAGCUAGCGUUGUUCGGAAUUACUGGGCGUAAAGCGCGCGUAGGCGGUUACUCAAGUCAGAGGUGAAAGCCCGGGGCUCAACCCCGGAACUGCCUUUGAAACUAGGUGACUAGAAUCUUGGAGAGGUCAGUGGAAUUCCGAGUGUAGAGGUGAAAUUCGUAGAUAUUCGGAAGAACACCAGUGGCGAAGGCGACUGACUGGACAAGUAUUGACGCUGAGGUGCGAAAGCGUGGGGAGCAAACAGG